ensembl:lncRNA
AAAAAAGUGUGUAUAUAAACGUAUGUAUAUUUAUAUAUACAUAUAAAUAUAUAUACAUACACACACAUGCUAUGUGUGAUGCUUAUGUAUAACAUUUACAUAUGUAUAUCUCUUUUGCAGCUGAACCCAGACUGCAUCUGGUUUGUAACUCUGAAGCUCACAUAGAAUGGCCUGGGUUGAAAAGGACCACAAUGCUCAUCAGUUCCAACCCCCUGCUAUGUGCAGGUCGCCAACCAGCAGACCAGGCUGCCCAGAGCCACAUCCAGCCUGGCCUUGAAUGCCUGCAGGGAUGGGGCAUCCACAACCUCCUUGGACAAUUUGUUCAAAUCCAUCUCUGAUGCAGAAGGUUUAUUUUGGCAUUUCGAAACCUUCCUUUUGUUGAUGGGAAUUUGUUAAAAUUUAAAACCCAGAUGUUUCUGGCUAGUGGUAAUUGCCCUUUUUGUGUCACAGGAGCAGAUGGGUGAGCUGCAGGAACCUACUGCCAAGGGCUUCCUAUAGCUGUAGCUUCCUGGGGGAGGAGAGGUUGGCUGCAACCCCACAGAAGUUAGGAGAGUUUUCUGUUUUCCUAGUAACAUCACAGUUCUGAAUGUAUACAAGCACCAGUGCUGCUCACCAACAACACUAUGUGAACAAGGUUCUGCUGUGCCUCUGUGCCUGGCUUCCGUCCUCUGCCUCCUCUGCCCAGCCAGCAGCUUGUCAGCUUGUGCUUGGAAUUGGGGAACCCAGCCUUCACAGUGUGAGUUUAAGACAGGCUCCCUCUCUUCUCACCAGCUCAGAUCCUUCUAUCCCUGCAGUCUUCAGCAUAUGGAAGCCUCUCCUGUGGGCAAGUCCUUGUUCCUCUCCAGAAAAGGGAACAGUGCAGUGACUGCAGAGAGGAAAAAGGGAGAGACCACGCAGAAGGGUCCUCUGCAGUCAUCUGUUGACCCCUUGUCCAACAAGUGUAGUUCUAAAAUGGUAGAUAGUAAUUUCACAACUACUUUUGGCACCGGUAUUGUGAAAAACUUUAAAUCACAUCCCUGCAGUGUUCAAUAAUGAAUCAUUUUGCACACGUAAUUCUGAAAUUAGGGCUCUAGCUGUGAUUAUGUACAUUUUCUACUGUCUGCCACUUACAGAUUUUGAAAUAUGCGAUAACUCCGUGCCAGUCCAAAGGAUGUGUUUUCCAGCAGGGCAGCUCUAUUUUUCUUUUUGAGAAAUGCCAACACAUUUCUGAAGAUAAGAAAUAAUUGUAUGUUAAUAACAAUCUCUUGCAGCGAGGAUGAGAAAAUGACACUUUUUUUCCCACCCCGCACACAUCUCUAACUUUAUGCUUCAUUUGUAUGUCACCUUGGAAAUACAGUGACUCUUAAAUUGUACAUACCAUUUCCUAUUGGCCCGUAGUGCCAAUCUGCUAGAAGAGCAUUGGAAUGUUUAAAUGCAGCAAGUAUUUAUUGAUAAUUUAUUUAUGAAUGAUUCCACUUCAGGGGAGUACUUAGUUUAUGAAGUCAGAUGCAGCAGAAUUGAACAGCUGGCCACUCAGGUUUUCCAAUUAAUAUUUUAAAUGCUUUUAUACAACUUCAGAGCAUGAUAGUGUUCUUUUUAUCAGAACGGUAAGUCAAUUCAUUCAUCUUAGAGGAGGAUGCUCAUACCACGAGGAUGCUCAGAGGUCUGGAGCACCUCUCCUGUGAAGAAGGGCUGAGGGAGAUGGGCUUGUUUAGCCUCUGGGGAAACCUCACUGUAGCCUUCCAGUACAUGAAGGGAGCUUAUAAACAGGAGAGGAACCGACUUUUUAUAUGGUCAGACAGUGAUAGGACAAGGGCAAUGGCUUUAAACUGCAAGAGAGGAGAUUGAGCUUAGCCAUGAGGACAUUCUUCACUCAGAGAGCAGCG